CCCAGCCCACUGAACGCAGGCAACUCCUGCCCCACUGGCAUUUUGCCGCCUCCAUGGCCUCUCCAGUCCCAGGGGAGAGGCUCCACAGACCCAAGUGCCCUCUGAGAAGGAAGGCAGGAGCAGGUGUGGCCCACCCAGGGCCCCAGGGGCAAGACCAGGCUUGCAGCUGUGGUGGGAGACGGUUGAGCUCUGGAUGCCGACCACAGCAGGGCAAUUGGCCAAUGGCCCACUGGGAGAGACCCCCCGGAGUAACAGCCAUGGGCCUUGGAGAGAAGGUUCAGGCAGAGGACCGGGCCACUUGGGCCAGGGAACACUGGGAUAGCCGCUGCCAGCAAGAAGAACUGGGGAAACUACUGACUCUCCUCCAGGGAGCUCAAACCUGCAGGUCCUUUGACCCUGAGGGCAAAUGAGGCCAGGGACAGGUCGGGUGGGCUCUGAGGCCCCCUGGGGGCAGAGCCCUGGCCCCAAGCCAUGCUGGCCCCUGCUGCUGCUGGGCUUGGCUGUGGGUGCCCAUGGUCGGCUGCCCCCAGUGACAGUAGCCCCACCGAACAGCACCCCAGACCCUGGAGCCCCAGCAGGAAGCAGCUCUCGGAGCCUGUGGGACAGUGAAGGAACCCAGCUCACCGUCCUAGGUCAGCCCAAGUCUGCGCCCUUGGUCACGCUCUUCCUGUCAUUCUCUGAGGAACUCGGCGCCAACAAAGCCACCCUGGUGUGCCUCAUCAGUGACUUCUACCCCAGCAGCUUGACGGUGGCCUGGAAGGUAGACGGCAGCAAUGUCACCCAGGGCGUGGAGACCACCAAGCCCUUCAUACAGAGCAACAACAAGUACGCGGCCAGCAGCUACCUGAGCCUGUCGCCUGACAAGUGGAAAUCAUACAGCAACGUCAGCUGCCUGGUCACGCACGAGGGGAGCACCGUGGAGAAGAAGGUGGUCCCCGCAGAGUGCUCUUAGGUCCCCGACACCCAAGGGGGCCUGGAGGCACAGGACCUCCAGGAGGAUCUGCCCUCCCACCAGGGUCACCCCGGCCCUUCUCGCUGCACCCGCUCGACACUCAAUAAAAUGUCCUUUAUUCAAUCAG